GAUGAACGCUGGCGGCGUGCUUAACACAUGCAAGUCGAACGAAGCAUUUGCGACAGAUUUUUUCGGAAUGAAGUUGCUUAUGACUGAGUGGCGGACGGGUGAGUAACGCGUGGGUAACCUGCCUUGUACUGGGGGAUAGCAGCUGGAAACGGCUGGUAAUACCGCAUAAGCGCACAAUGUUGCAUGACAUGGUGUGAAAAACUCCGGUGGUAUAAGAUGGACCCGCGUCUGAUUAGCUAGUUAGUGAGAUAACAGCCCACCAAGGCGACGAUCAGUAGCCGACCUGAGAGGGUGACCGGCCACAUUGGGACUGAGACACGGCCCAGACUCCUACGGGAGGCAGCAGUGGGGAAUAUUGCACAAUGGAGGAAACUCUGAUGCAGCGACGCCGCGUGAGUGAAGAAGUAAUUCGUUAUGUAAAGCUCUAUCAGCAGGGAAGAUAGUGACGGUACCUGACUAAGAAGCUCCGGCUAAAUACGUG
rnacentral:rRNA from 1 species